rnacentral:lncRNA from 1 species
GGUGGCCUGGUUCCUGGUGUUGGAGGUGUCCCAGGUGUUGGAGGUCCUGCAGCAGCAGCCAAAGCAGCAGCCAAGGCAGCCAAAUUUGGUGAGUCAGCCUGGGGAGCCCCUCAGGCUCCCUACCAGCCCUGGUGUGGCUCUGACCCAUGCAGGGGAUGCUGGGCAUGGGCACCCAGGCCUGGCACAUGAUCCCACACGAGCACAGGAUCUCUCACCCCUUUCCCGCAGGUGCCGGGGUUGGAGGGGUGCCAGGGGUGGUGCCUGGCGUGGGCGGAGUGCCCGGAGUGGCACCCGGUGUUGGUGGCGUGCCCGGAUUGGUGCCAGGGGUGGGAGUACCUGGAACUGGCAUCCUUCCCGGGGCAGGCAUCCCCCAAGUAGGGGUGCAGCCUGGUGCUAAACCUCCCAAAUUCGGUGUUCCUGGGGUUGGAGUCCCAGGGGUUGGUGGCCUCCCAGGUAAGUGCUGGCAGGAGCUGAGCCCAGGCAGUGGGGAUGUGUGGGCAGAAGGAUGCUCCCGUCGAGGGGCGGAGCUGGAGGGAUGCUCCCUCUGGGCACGGCGGGGAGCGGGGCUGCCCGAGAAAGGAUGAGCACACUUGGGAGUGGCUGCGGAGUGGGUCAGACACUGGGGACACUGCCUGUCCCUGCUGGUGCUCACCCGGGCUACUCCUUGUAGGUGGCCUUGGCGUCGGUGGGCUCGGAGUUGGUGGCCUCGGUGAGUGAUGCUGGUCCCGCUGUGGGGCUCCAGGGCUGGGCUGCAGGGAGCAGCAGCAGCAGCAGCAGCAGAGAGCUGGCAGAGCCAUGAAAAGGAAAGGGAGUCUGUGGGUCACUUCUGUCCCCUCCCAGUCUCACAGCACAAUCCCACCCUGCACUGUCACUGUCCCCUGUUGUGUUUGUCACCUGCCCUGUUCCCAGGGGGUGAUCCAAAGGAAUUGCCAUUGCUGAGCAGGGACUGAGGGCCACAGCCCCAGCCUUGCCCAUGCCAUGGGAACAGGGGAUGGUACUGUACCCUGUCCCCAACGUGUGAAGAUGCAGGUCCCUCCUGGGACCCUCUGGGCCCCUCCUGAAGGGUCUGGGUGUGGCCCUGGGGCAGUGAGUCCGGGCAGGGGCUGCCCUGGUGCCCCCCUCUGACUUAGGACUCUUGUAUCCAGGAGCUGCUGGGAAACCUCCCAAGCCAGGUAAGGGACAGCCAGAGGGGCUGGAGGAGUGACUCCAGUGCCUGUCCCCAUCCACAUUCCCAUGGCUGUGCUCACGCUCCCCACCCUCACUGGGGCUCACCCACCUGCAGGUUUUGGUGCUGGGGGGCUGCAGCCAGGUGAGUGCUGCACUUUGGGGCUGGCCUGGCAGUGUGUCCCCUAUCCUGCCACACUCGUCCCCGCUUGCUGUCCCCGUGCUGCUGCCAUUCCCUGCUGAGCACCAGCUGCCUGGGAGAGCACUGGGAAGCCAGAGAGGUGCCAGGGUGGGGACGGCGGCUUUUGCAUCAGCUCCUGUCCCUGGAGUGAGCACGGGAUCCCAGCCAGGCUGUCCCCAGUGCACGCUAGAGUGGCACCGCUGUCACCGGCUGUCACUGGCUGUUGCUUUUUCCCCAGG